rnacentral:tRNA from 2 species
CGCUGCCGAUGGCAUAGGGGCUGCCCGGGUCGUUCGGGCCGGCUUGCAGGCUGUUGUUCGGACCCUUGCGGUGCUGGC